rnacentral:rRNA from 1 species
UCCAGACUCCUACGGGAGGCAGCAGUGGGGGAUAUUGCACAAUGGGGGGAACCCUGAUGCAGCGACGCCGCGUGGGUGAAGGAGCGUUUCGGCGCGUAAAGCCCUAUCGGCAGGGAAGAAGGAGGACGGUACCUGACUAAGAAGCCCCGGCUAACUACGUGCCAGCAGCCGCGGUAAUACGUAGGGGGCAAGCGUUAUCCGGAUUUACUGGGUGUAAAGGGGGCGCAGACGGCAGCGCAAGCCAGGAGUGAAAGCCCGGGGCCCAACCCCGGGACUGCUCUUGGAACUGCGCGGCUGGAGUGCAGGAGGGGCAGGCGGAAUUCCUGGUGUAGCGGUGAAAUGCGUAGAUAUCAGGAGGAACACCGGUGGCGAAGGCGGCCUGCUGGACUACGACUGACGUUGAGGCCCGAAAGUGUGGGGAGCAAACAGGAUUAGAUACCCUGGUA